rnacentral:misc_RNA from 1 species
AACAAGGUUUCCGUAGGUGAACCUGCGGAAGGAUCAUUGUCGUAACCUGCGAAAGCAAAGCAACUCGCGAACACGUAGUCAACACUCGGGGAUUCGAGCGCGUCCUCCCCGGGGGACGCCCUUUCUCCCCAAAGUCGGGGCGGCCCGGCGCUCGCAGGCGGCGCGAUUGUCGCGAGCUAACGGCCUCCGGGCCCUCCCGACGCAACAAAAAACCGGCGCGGAAUGCGCCAAGGAAUAUGAAAGAGAGUGCGCUCUUUCGGCGUCAGCUCGCGCUGCGCUCGGACGGGCGUCGUCUUCUUGAUGAGUUUAUAAUGACUCUCGGCAACGGAUAUCUCGGCUCUUACAUCGAUGAAGAACGUAGCAAAAUGCGAUACUUGGUGUGAAUUGCAGAAUCCCGUGAACCAUCGAGUCUUUGAACGCAAGUUGCGCCCGAAUCCAUCUGGUUGAGGGCACGUCUGCCUGGGUGUCACGUACACGCGCCUCCCGCGAACCUUCCCCUUUAUGCGGACGAAUGGUCUCGCGGGAGCAGAUAUUGGUAUCCCGUGCCUGUUUUGCGCGGCUUGCCUAAAAACGGAGAUCCGGCGACGAAACGUCGCGUCUAGUGGUGGUUUAUGAGGCCUAACGGCCGAACCAGUUCGCGGCGCGAUCGUUUGUCGCAAGAAAGUCUCCCACGACACCUCGGACGCCCCCUAACGGGCGUGCCACUGUCGCGACCCCA